UACGAAGGGGGCUAGCGUUGCUCGGAAUUACUGGGCGUAAAGCGUACGUAGGCGGCUUUCUAAGUCGGGGGUGAAAUCCUGGAGCUCAACUCCAGAACUGCCUUCGAUACUGGAAAGCUCGAGUCCGGGAGAGGUGAGUGGAACUGCGAGUGUAGAGGUGAAAUUCGUAGAUAUUCGGAAGAACACCAGUGGCGAAGGCGGCUCACUGGACCGGUAUUGACGCUGAGGUGCGAAAGCGUGGGAAGCAAACAGG
rnacentral:rRNA from 1 species